UACCUACCCUGAAGUGAGGGAUACCGGCGAGAAAUCGCCGACAAUACCGCAUAGGCUCUCUGUCGCAAGAGAGAGAGCAAAGUCUCGCGAGAGGCGCUUUGGGAUGGGCCUGUGGCCGAUUAGCUAGCUGGUGGGGUAACGGCUCACCAGGGCGAUGAUCGGUAGCUGGUCUGAGAGGACGAUCAGCCACACUGGGAUUGAGAACGGCCCAG
rnacentral:rRNA from 1 species